rnacentral:tRNA from 1 species
GGAGAGGUGCCGGAGCUGGCCGAACGGUCCGGUUUUGAAAACCGGUGACCCGCAAGGGUCCGAGGGUUCGAAUCCCUCCCUCUCCGCCA